rnacentral:rRNA from 1 species
GACGAACGCCGGCGGCGUGCUUAACACAUGCAAGUCGAACGAUGAAGCCGGAGCUUGCUCUGGUGAAUUAGUGGCGAACGGGUGAGUAACACGUGAGUAACCUGCCCUUGACUCUGGGAUAACUGCGGGAAACUGUAGCUAAUACUGGAUACGACCCUCGGAGGCAUCUCCUGGGGGUGGAAAGAAUUUCGGUCAAGGAUGGACUCGCGGCCUAUCAGCUAGUUGGUGAGGUAAAGGCUCACCAAGGCGACGACGGGUAGCCGGCCUGAGAGGGUGACCGGCCACACUGGGACUGAGACACGGCCCAGACUCCUACGGGAGGCAGCAGUGGGGAAUAUUGCACAAUGGGCGCAAGCCUGAUGCAGCAACGCCGCGUGCGGGAUGACGGCCUUCGGGUUGUAAACCGCUUUUAGUAGGGAAGAAGCCUUCGGGUGACGGUACCUGCAGAAAAAGGACCGGCUAACUACGUGCCAGCCGCCGCCGUAA